GACGAACGCUGGCGGCGUGCUUAACACAUGCAAGUCGAACGAGUGGCGAACGGGUGAGUACUAUGUGGGGAACCUUCCCUCUCUCGGGGACAAGCUUUGGUAACGGGGUCUAAUAACGGCUAAAGGGGGAUGGGCUCCCGGCCUAUCAGCUUGGUGGUGGGGUGAUGGGUUAUCAAGGCGGUGACGGGUAGCUGGCCUGAGAGGGUAACCGGCGACAUUGGGACUGAGAUACGGCCCAGGGUAGUAAGGGGGGGAGAAGUGGGGGAUAUGGCACAAUGGGCGAAAGACUGAUGCAGCGUGGCUGAGUAGGGGAUGAUGGUUUUCGGGUUGUAAACCUCUUGCACUAUCGAACCGGUAGGUGGAGAAGAAGCGCCGGCUAACUACGUGCCAGCAGCCGCGGUAAUUC
rnacentral:rRNA from 1 species